UACGUAGGGUGCAAGCGUUAAUCGGAAUUACUGGGCGUAAAGCGUGCGCAGGCGGUUGUGUAAGACAGAUGUGAAAUGCCCGGGCUCAACCUGGGAACUGCAUUUGUGACUGCACGGCUAGAGUGUGUCAGAGGGGGGUAGAAUUCCACGUGUAGCAGUGAAAUGCGUAGAUAUGUGGAGGAAUACCGAUGGCGAAGGCAGCCCCCUGGGAUAACACUGACGCUCAUGCACGAAAGCGUGGGGAGCAAACAGG
rnacentral:rRNA from 1 species